rnacentral:rRNA from 1 species
UACGUAGGGUGCGAGCGUUAAUCGGAAUUACUGGGCGUAAAGCGUGCGCAGGCGGUUGUGUAAGACAGGUGUGAAAUCCCCGGGCUUAACCUGGGAACUGCGCUUGUGACUGCACGACUCGAGUGUGGCAGAGGGGGGUGGAAUUCCACGUGUAGCAGUGAAAUGCGUAGAGAUGUGGAGGAACACCGAUGGCGAAGGCAGCCCCCUGGGUUAACACUGACGCUCAUGCACGAAAGCGUCGGUAGCAAACAGG